AUUUAGCAAGCCUGGAGAGCUUGUUAAAACAUGAAAGCUUGGGUUCUACCUGCAGGUAAGUCUAGGUGGGGCAGAAUCCGGUGAUCUUAACAAGCUCCCGGGUGAAGCUGCAACUGGUCUGUGCUUCCCUCCAGUAGCAGUGCUGUGGCCACUCUGACCUUGCAGACAAGCCUUCGUCUCCGACAAUAUCAUUCAGCCUUUAGUACUGAAAAACUUGAAGUCAACCUGCUCCUGUAUUAAUAAAUUAUUCCUUUCAGAUUUAGAUUUUUCCAGACUUCUUUGGAACCUGUUCUCACAUCUUGGGCACCGGGGAUGCAGACAUGAGGAGAUGCAGUUCUAGUUUGAGCUCGCCAUUAAUUUUCUGGAGGUUGAGAGACAGAGACAGAGACAGAUUCCCUCCUCAGAUGCUCACAUCAGCUGAGGCUGGGCCAGGCUGAAGCCAGGAGCUAGGAAUUCCAUCUAUUCCUCCUAGGUGAGUGGCAGGCACACGACCACCCAACCCAUCACAUGCUGUCUGCAAACGUGCACUUUAACAGGAAGCUAGAUCUGGGAUUGCAGUCAGGACUCGAACUCAGGCACUUUGACACAGGAUAUGGGCAUCCCAAUUGGCAUCCUAUGUCCUGCAGCAAUUCUUUGCCCCAGUAGCAACUUUAAAAAAGAUAAAUAAAUAAAGAGCAUAUAUAAACGUUCUUUCCUUAUCACUCAAUAUCUCCGACACACAUUCAUCAACUCCUCAAAAUUCAGGGCAAUUAUGGAUAGGCUUACAUCCUUUACACAUAAUUCCUGCUCUCCUCACAGUCUACAUUUUAUAUUGCGUUUCUCAGAAAGGUGCUCCCAAUGCACCAGUCAUCCUACAGGCCCUCCAUUGCGUUGGCGCUGCAGUGGUCACUGGAAUCACUUGAAAAGGUACACCCAAUUUUUGUUUUUACUCAUCUCUCCGAAAUCACCACAGAGUUCUUUGGGUAUCUUUGACACACUGUGAUUCUGAUCAGCAAAUAAAGAAAACUUGUGUUUAAAGUAAAACCCAUUAUGAACAAUUUUAUUUCCAAAAACGAUGAAAGCCAGAUCCCAACUUUACUUCUAAAACUCCCUGGCACAAAAUUUGUUUCCACAGUUAUAGGACAACACAGAAAGACCAAAACCUCAAACACAUUAAAAACCAAACAUACAAACCCUUACGAAAUGACAUUUUAAAUGAGAAAAUAGUUAGCAUAUUUGGAAGUAGAUAAGACCUGGGUAUUGAUAAAGAUUAGUAGCAACAUGUAAAUAGUUCUGAACAUUAAAAAAAAAUUCCAACUGGAAGGAAAUUUAAAUUCUUUCUGCUCCCUGUUUUUGGUUAACAAAAGUUUAUUGUUGCCUCUGAGGCAACAGCUUUUAUUGCUUAUAUUUUUCCUUCUUCUUAUUUCCAUAUUUUUAAGUCAUGUGGUUUUAUGAUUAUUUCUUGAUUUAUCAGUAUUUUCUAAUCUGAUAAGAUGGUUUACCUGGCAAGUUAGUACAUUGAUAUGGAUUAUGAUU